rnacentral:sRNA from 1 species
UGGUAGAUGCACCCUGAUAACUCACUCCCCUGAUUGAUGGCAAUCGGCGGGGGUUUUUUAU